CUUCAAUGAAUAUUGCUAAGUGAAAGAAGCCAAUCUUAGAACGCUAUGUACUUUAUGAUUCCAUUUAUGUGAGGUUCUGAAAAAGAAAACGCUAUAGAAACAGAAGCCAAAUCAGUGGUUGCCAGGGAAGCACAUCUUCCCUCAGUCAAAUCUUAACAUGACUGCAGACUUGUAAGUAACCACGGGCCGGAGGACCCAGAUAAGCUGAACCAGGGUGCCUGACCCACGGAAACUGUGAGGAGACCUCCUCAAAGGACGACAAGCUUCCACGAUAGAGCAAGUUAUUCCCUCACGUUCUGUCCAGGGGGUCAUCUCCCAGUUUGAGAAGAAGAAAGUGUACAACUUCUGCUUGAAGCUGUAUGUCAAAAGCUAUAACAAGAAGGAAGCUGUCUGCAAGCCAGGAAGAGGGCCCUCACCAAGAACUUGACCAUGCUGGCAACUCGAUCUGAACUUCUCAGCCUCCAUAACGGGUGGCUAUCUAUGGCUAAUGUCAUGAGUACAUGGUCAGAACGUAUGCAUGCCAUCUUUAACAAGAUGAGUCAUCUCUGCAGAAAAAGCUUGACAGAAAGGCUGAGAUUGCUGGGUUAUGGAGAGAAACCGAAAAUGCACACAGACGAAGAGAACCUGGGCCACAGUCCUUCCAAGACAGAGCUCAUGGCUCACCGGAGUCCAAGAAAAGGCCAUGAGCAUGAAGCUUCACAAAAGUAUUGUUGAAGUGAUUGAAAUAGAACAACAUGCUUGCUUGAAG
rnacentral:lncRNA from 1 species